UUUGCAUUUAGUAAAAUCGGCACUAACAGAAAACACAACUUAUUAUAUAAACAAUAAUAUGUAUAUUGAUUGCACGUCUUUGAAUUAGUAUAAUAUUUUUUCAAAGCCACAGGCCAGCGAGAAAAGUGAUUAAAAAUACACCGACGACGACGAUGACGGGGCCGCAGCCAGGCCAGCAACAGAGCAACAGCAACAAACGCGUAGUGGUGGAAGCGGCACUCACGGCGAAGCAACUGCGAAUGACAGACAGACGGCUGGAUGUGUCGGUGUCGGUUUCGGUAUAUGUAUAAGUGCGCAUGUAUGUGUGUGUGUGUGCGUGCGAAAGAGAAUUUAGCUUACAGAGCGUUGCCAGCAGUAUGUAUUUUACCGACAACCGAUAACAGUUCUUUGCAUAAAUAAAAUACUAUUCAAACACAUGCAAUCAAUGUAUAAUGCAACAUUCUACAAUUUGUUGUUGCUUGUUAGUUAAACACAUCAGAUGUGUAAUUAUUAAUAACACAAGACAUAUCGAUGCAAGGCAGGGCGUGUAGUUUCUGCUGGCAAUGCUGCAAUACUCAGAGCUGACGUUGUUGUUUAUUUUUUAACUCCACCAAUUCACACUCACACACGCACACUCUGACAUACAAUACAUAUACAAAUUUCGGUGAAUUUUAGUUAUUUAAAUUGCGUUUAAUGUGAAACUUUCCUUACACUAUUUUUUCACUUGAUUCGGCCUUUUUGAACAUUAAACAAAAUAGAGGCGAAGAGAUAUCGAUGGUUGAUACAUCGAUAAUGAUAUUUUACAAAUUCGAUAUUUUAAGUACUUUUAUACUAAACAUGAAAAACGCGCCUUUUUCGAUAUCGAUGUGCCCUGUCUGUCAAGCCAUUUUGCAAUAUGUGGCAAUAUAUACACAUAAGAAUAAAUCGUUAUCGAUUCUUAGUUCUGAAAUACGAAGUAGAUAGGUUGGUAGCUCUAAAAUUCUAGGGCUGUC